ensembl:lncRNA
AUGAUGAUUCCUCAUUUCUGCCUGCUCCUCUGCUGGCUGGCUCUCCCUCUACAAGGUCUGGAGAUACUUGACCCUGAGGAGGUGGAAUACAUCCGCUCCCAUGCUGCUGCAGCAGCGGGAGGCUCAGUCACCCUGGACUGUGGCUCCACCAUGCCUACUAUCUUCAUCUGGGGCUUCACCAGACCAGGGACCGAUAGCAAUGUUGCAUUGGCCUACAACUAUGGCCAGGGCCCGAAGCUGCAGUAUCAGUCCAGCAGCCAGGGCCGCAUGCGGGUGCCCGCCAACACCUCGGCUUUAGUCAUAGAGGAGCUUCAGAGGGAGGCGGCGGGGAUGUACACCUGCCAGGCUUUGUAUGACACCGACGAGGGGGCCAGGGUAACUUUCUAUUUCACCCGGCUGGAUGUGGAGGACGACUGAUGAAGGCCCGCUCUUCAAAUAUCUGUUACCGUCUUCUUUUCUAAAAAUUCAGCUCCUGAUCACUGCGUGCAUGAAUUGGUUCAUCUAAAUUCCCAAGUGAUAUCAAGCCAUGCAAGAUAACUGUAGGUCCUAUUUACACAGAAGUAGAGAUAAUCUGACUCAAAUUUUUAUAGGCUUGAGCUUUAUUAAGUUAUGGUUGGUCCUCUGGUUGUUUGCAUGAUAAUAAAAUGGGGGUGUCUCUCAAAGCUGCUUCUUUGCAUUGUGUAUGUUGAUCCAUAUUCAUGACUAAAACUCAGGAUAGAUUAGCCUCGGCUACAGAAACCUCUUUUAAAAUCUGUCUCAGACAAGAUUCCCAAUUUUUCCGUUAUAGCAAAAAUAUAUUGCCCCAGUACUCAUUUACCGUCAAUGUGUUUUUCCGCAGAAGUUGCUGCGGGAGUUUUUUUCCAGUUAGCUUUUUUCAUUGGAACUACUCCCCACUGUUGAAACAGUCUCAUAAGAGCCAUGAAAUUGUGUUAUUGCAGAUAAACAUAUAAGUCCUGUAUAAGGAAAAAACAUGCAGAUGUUGUUGUUGUUGUUGAUCGUAGUUUUUCGAUGCUGAAAGCAACAACCACAGAUGAACUUCCAUCCAGCUCCAUUGUUCAGGGGAAUGGGCAGAAACAGAUGAACCUGGAAAAAAAAACUGGACAAAUAAGCAAAAAUGAUCUUCAUGACCAAAUACCAUUAGAGGUAAAUGAGAGCCUCAUUUGUUUUGUCGUUUGGAAGAACUGAUCUCCGUAACACACACUGAAACACUUUGAUCGAGCAGAGACUGCACUAUUGUCUCCUGCAAUCUUUGUAGCCAUAUAAACUUACAAAGCGUGACACCGUGUAGACCUGAGGUUGUGGUUUCCAUUUCAAAUACUUUCGCCCGUCUUGUAUUGUGUUGAUUAUUAAAACCAUCUGGAUUGAGGGGUUCAUUAGACAGCACUAUUUUUUGCUUGUUUUUCUUGAAAUAGAUCGCUCAUUACGGUUUCUGCUUCAUCCCGACUACCACCCCGCUGUGUUGUUGUUCUGUCUUUAAGUGCAUGAGACGCUGAGCUUUGUUAACGACGUGCGUUGUCACUUUCGACACGGUGACAGGCCGUGGCACAUCAGAGCAGAGCGUGGCACAAAGCUCCUCGCUCAAAGGCCGCAAAACUCUCAUUCCUGGAUCACUUCCACCUUGACGGAAAUCCAUACACAUGAGCCGAAUGCUCUCCUGAAAAAAUUCAUCCAAUAUUAGAAUAAACACCGCGUUCUUCAUGUCUGUGCAUAGAUAUCCCAGAGUGGUGGGUCAAAAAUGAUCACAUAUUUUUCAGAGUUUCUUCUGACUCAUCCCGAAGCCUGGCUCUUCUCAACAGGUCCCACCUGCCUGUCAUCGCUGGGCUCAUCAUUGAUCCAGAGCAGGAGCAGGACUAUGUUGGAAUCAUGAAGUCCGUUGGCAGGGAGAAAAUGGGGCAGUUAAAUGGAAGCAGCUGGAAUUAAAGAUGAGGCUGUACUUUGCUUUUCCUCCCUGAUCAAAUCCAACAGGUGCCGUCUUUCCCAUGGCGCCCAAAAACAUCAUAUGUGGCAACUGCAUGCACCAGGACCCGAGCCUGAUAAGGAACACAUAGCAUAGGACAUAGGAGGAGACAGAUUGUUGGUCCUGCACUGCACAUGAGCUCAUCAUUCGCGCGGACCCGGCGGAAUGCUUCUGGAGCCCAUCCAAUGACAACAUGCUCCGCUUGGGGUUUGUGACAUCUCAAGGAUAAAGCCGCCCCGGGGGCCGAAUCAGGCGAGUUAACUACACACUGCCCGAUUCAUAAGGAAUCGCAGUCAUUCAGGGUGUGCUGGAGAGGGGAGAGAGAGGAAGAAUGGUGGGCGGAGGGGAGAGGGACGGGCGUUAACAGGUCGGCUCCGCGGCAAGGGGGCAGAAAUUCCAGCGCGGACAAUGAGCUUUCUUGUUCCCAGGGGCUCCUUAAUGAAGGGGUGUAGCUGCGUGGGUAGAGGGUGCACGGCAGGGCUGGGGGAGAGUGCCGACUGACAGACGUGGGAGAUGGAGAGGCAGCUCCUUUUGAGACAACCCCUGCCCUUAUCUUCUCCUCAUCGGCCCAGCCUGCAUCUGUCAGCGUCCCCUCUCCCGCCGUGGACCGUUCCUCUUUCAUUUCCAGCUUCAUUUCCGACCCAUUGUUUCGUUCCCCCUUUCUUUCUAAUGACAGCAGGACUCGAACGAGCUACUGCAUGGAAACGAAAACAAAAGAUUACAAUGAGACUGCGCAAACAAUUGCCAUCUCUUUCCAUCGUUCUUGGCCUUAGAAUCACUCUGAGUUCUGGAUUCCCUCCUCACUCACAAACAUGUCCUUGAUCGGUGACCAUCUGAGACACCAGAGGGGCUGCAGGCCCGAGAUGCUCCGGCAGGGCUGUUGCUGGGAAAAGGAGCGGGUUUGGGUCAAGUCAGCUGGGCAAAAGCCAUCAGCCUCGACAGCACGACAGCCUCCGUCGAGGCUAAAUAUAACAGCCGGAAGAGGCUGUGCCACGCCUCAGCAGCAGGGCGAGUAAAUCCAUGUGCCAGGAAUAACCCGCGCACCAUCAGAGGGGACGAGAGAUGCCAGGCGAGCCGGGGCCUGAGGACUGGCAGCCGACUCCUGGCACAGACACAGGCAGACAGGCACCAGGCAUGGGAAGCCCGCGCCCACAGUCGUCCUCUGCCCCGCUGCAAUCCUAUCAGGUCCGAUCAGCCGGCACUCCGUGGAGAUUAUUUUAAAACCAAUGAAGGGUUUAAGCCUUUAGAAAAAUCGGUUUUGGCUAACUCGGGCUGAAACCUGAGGAGGGUUCAUGACAACUGUUUUAUGAAUGAGUUAUCUGCGGCGAAUCACGGCGCGAGUUGUUGAUGACAGAAUUUUCAACUCACCUCCUUCUAUUUCUUAUGCACCACAGUCUGUUUUCUUCCUUUUUCUCAGUGAGAUGAUACUGUACAGCUGCAACGGGCAGCAUUGCGUGUUGGCAGCGCCUACUGACAAUUCAAAAUGCAGUCCACAGAAAUCUGUGCUGAAUGUCAUUUGGUUUGUGAUUGCUUGAACGGGGCAGCUUACCUGAAUCACUAUAACAUUAUUUCCCACUUGGCAUGCGGAUCAUUUUUAGUAUCACACAUCUUGUUUUUGUUUUGACCAUCUGAGAUUACGGCCUCUCACACAGUGAAAGUGGAGAAGAAUGUGUUUCAUCUGCGUGAAUCACUGGAGCUAUCGCGCUUGGAAAAACUCCGACACAAUUCCCCCCUUCGCUCUGGAUAAUCUAAAACAUCCACGUCCUGUCUCGGUACGAUGAAACAGAACUAUGAGGAUAAGGGUUUUUUGUUUUGAUUUUAUGAAUGGAACAUUUGCAGCUUGUUAAACGUAAGCGUUAGACUCAGUCCUUCCUGGGGGCUGGAGAUUUUGCACUAGAAUUUCAUUUGAGUUCAUCUGCGUGAAGUAUUGUGUGUUAACCAGCAGCAGAGCAGUUUUAACAUGCACAUAUUUGCGCGAGGGGGCCCCGCUCACUCUUAACGACUCUGUUUUGAAUGUACCCGCCCCUACUUCUCGAGCAGAUUGGGGCCAGUGGGUCAACAGUCCCCUCAAAGCAACGGUGCAUUCGGUGCAAAGUGAUGAGCUAUCAGGUAUUCAGUGAAGCAAGGAGCAGCGGCCUGACGCUGAACGGCGACGGGAAUGUUCACCCCGUUCAGGGGUCACUGCAGUGGGACAGCCCAUCGCUGAGCCCACAUCAAAGACCUGCCAGAAAUAUCGAUGGGCUCGCACCGAGCCUGGGAAAUUCACUCUGGCGGUCGUUCGUCAGGCACUAAACAUGGAGGUGGGGAGGAAAAGACACCUCGUUGUCGUUUACUCUUCCAUAUCUUCUCUUUAUAUUAUUACAAAAACUUUACACGGACAACGGCUAAUCUCCACGCUUUGAACGUGGAAAAACAGGAGGGACAAAAACAAAACAAAAAAUAAAAAGUAUUUCUCAUCCAAAAGGCAUAAAUAAUAUAAAAGACAAACUUUUUUUUCUUUAAAAACAGAUACAUUCAUAUGAAAUAAUAUUUUACUACUACAAAAAAUAAAUAAGUCAUCUAAAGAGUUCUUUUUUGUGUGUGGAUCUUUUAUGAGAGUCUUCCCUCCAGUGGGACACAGAGUCUGUCUCUGAGCAACGCUCCCCUUUCUCUCUUCCGCGUGUCUCUCAGCCUUCUCGUCGUUCGCUCUCCUUUCCCCGCGUCGCUCGCCCCGGCCCAGUCCGUCAAACAGUUCAGUUCUGUCCUCGUCACCGAAACUUGCAGUGUCUCUGACUAUCCAGCCGCUGGUCCUCAUCCGUUCCGCAGCUCUACUCUCUGUCUCUGGUUCAUCUAAAAACCCCUCCACAUUGCAGGGGGAGCG